rnacentral:rRNA from 1 species
UUGUAAGUGUUUAAGGGCGCAUGGUGGAUGCCUUGGCACUGGGAGCCGAUGAAGGACGUGGGAGGCUGCGAUAUGCCUCGGGGAGCUGUCAACCGAGCGUGGAUCCGAGGAUGUCCGAAUGGGGAAACCCGGCACGAGUGAUGUCGUGUCACCCAACGCUGAAUAUAUAGGCGUUGGGGGGGAACGCGGGGAAGUGAAACAUCUCAGUACCCGUAGGAAGAGAAAACAAAAGUGAUUCCGUUAGUAGUGGCGAGCGAACGCGGAGGAUGGCUAAACCGUGUGCAUGUGAUACCCGGCGGGGGUUGUGUGUGCGGUGUUGUGGGACAUUUCUUCUUCUGCCCGCCGGCAGGAGCGAAAGUGAUAAACCGUGGGGUUAGGUGAAGUGGUCUGGGAUGGCCUGUCGGAGAGGGUGAGAGCCCCGUAACCGAAAACUUCGCGGCUUUCGUGAGAUUGUUCCCGAGUAGCAGCGGGCCCGUGGAAUCUGCUGUGAAUCUGCCGGGACCACCCGGUAAGCCUGAAUACUUCCCAGUGACCGAUAGCGGAUGAGUACCGUGAGGGAAUGGUGAAAAGUACCCCGGGAGGGGAGUGAAAUAGUACCUGAAACCGUGCGCUUACAAUCCGUCAGAGCCUUCUCUUUUGAGUGGGGUGAUGGCGUGCCUUUUGAAGAAUGAGCCUGCGAGUCAGGGACAUGUCGCGAGGUUAACCCGGGUGGGGUAGCCGUAGCGAAAGCGAGUCUGAAUAGGGCGUAUCCAAUCCGUUGGGGUUGGUG